rnacentral:rRNA from 1 species
UUCUGAUAGCAAGCUGUACUUGUACAGCGAAGUGGUUGAUGCCAUGCUUCCAGGAAAAGUCUCUAAGCUUCAGUUACACAGGAAUCGUACCCGAAACCGACACAGGUGGUCAGGUCGAGUAGACCAAGGCGCUUGAGAGAACUCUGCUGAAGGAACUAGGCAAAAUGGUACCGUAACUUCGGGAGAAGGUACGCUGUUGUUGGUGAUGGAACUCGCUUCCUGAGCUGACGACAGCCGCAGAAACCAGGCCGCUGCAACUGUUUAUUAAAAACAUAGCACUCUGCAAACACGAAAGUGGACGUAUAGGGUGUGAUGCCUGCCCGGUGCUGGAAGGUUAAUUGAUGGGGUUAGCGUAAGCGAAGCUCUUGAUCGAAGCCCCAGUAAACGGCGGCCGUAACAAUAACGGUCCUAAGGUAGCGAAAUUCCUUGUCGGGUAAGUUCCGACCUGCACGAAUGGCAUAAUGAUGGCGGCGCUGUCUCCAGCAGAGGCUCAGUGAAAUCGAAAUCGCUGUGAAGAUGCAGUGUACCCGCGGCUAGACGGAAAGACCCCGUGAACCUUUACUGCAGCUUGACACUGAACUUUGACCUUACUUGUGUAGGAUAGGUGGGAGGCUUUGAAGCUGGAAUGCUAGUUCCAGUGGAGCCGUCCUUGAAAUACCACCCUGGUAAUGUUGAGGUUCUAACUCUGUCCCGUGAUCCGGGACGAGGACCGUGUCUGGUGGGUAGUUUGACUGGGGCGGUCUCCUCCUAAAGAGUAACGGAGGAGUACGAAGGUGCGCUCAGCGUGGUCGGAAAUCACGCGUAGAGUAUAAAGGCAAAAGCGCGCUUAACUGCGAGACCCACAAGUCGAGCAGGUACGAAAGUAGGUCUUAGUGGUCCGGUGGUUCUGUAUGGAAGGGCCAUCGCUCAACGGAUAAAAGGUACUCUGGGGAUAACAGGCUGAUACCGCCCAAGAGUUCAUAUCGACGGCGGUGUUUGGCACCUCGAUGUCGGCUCAUCUCAUCCUGGGGCUGAAGCAGGUCCCAAGGGUAUGGCUGUUCGCCAUUUAAAGAGGUACGCGAGCUGGGUUUAGAACGUCGUGAGACAGUUAGGUCCCUAUCUACCGUGGGCGCUGGAAAUUUGAGAGGAUCUGCUCCUAGUACGAGAGGACCAGAGUGGACGAACCUCUGGCGUACCGGUUGUGACGCCAGUCGCAUCGCCGGGUAGCUAUGUUCGGAAGGGAUAACCGCUGAAAGCAUCUAAGCGGGAAGCCUACCUCAAGAUAAGAUUUCCCUAGGACUUUAUGUCCUCUAAAGAGCCGUUCGAGACUAGGACGUUGAUAGGUUGGAUGUGGAAGCAUAGUGAUAU